AAGGCACAGUGGUUAAGGUAGGCAGUUUGAAUCCAUGAGCCACUCCUCGGAAACCCUGUGGGGCAGUUCUACUCUGUCCUAUAGGUUCGCUAUGAGUCAGAAUCAACACGGUGGCAACAGGUUUUGUUUGGUUUCUGGUUUAAUCUUUACAGAAGCAAACUGCUAUAUCUUUCACCUCUGGAGACCUUUUUGGUUAGCUGCAGAGCUGUACCACCAGGCCCCUUUGGAGAUAUGAUAAGCAACAUCAUGAUAAACAGAGAAAAGAUUGAAGUCGUCAAGGGUUUCAUUUUACUUGGAUCCACAAUCAACACCCAUUGAACCAAGAAAUCAAACAAUGCAUUGUGUUGGGCAAAUUUGCUGCAAAAGAGCUCUUUAAAAUACUGAAAAGCAAAGAUGUCACCUUGAAGCCCAAGAUGUCCCUGACCCAAGCCAUGGUGUUUUCAAUUGCUUCAUAUGCAUGAGAAAGCUGUGCAUUCGAAUAAGGAAGACUGAAGAAGAAUUGAAAUUAUGGUGUUGGUGAAGAAUAUUGAAUAUACGGUGAACUGCCAAAAGAAUGAACAAAUCUGCCUUGGAAGAAGUACAGCCAGAAUCCUCCUUAGAAGCAAGGAUGGCAAGACUACUCACAUAUUUUGGACAUGUUAUCAGAAGGGACCAGUCCCUGGAGAAGGACACUAUGGUAAAAUAGGGCAGUGAAAAAGAGGAAGACCCUCAAGGAGAUGGAUUGACACAGUGACUGCAACAGUGAGCUCAAGCAUAGGAAAGGUUGUGAGGAUGGUGCAGGACUGGACGGUGUUUUGUUCUGUCGUACAUGGGGUCACUAUGACUUGGAACCGACUUGAUGGCACCUAAAAACAACAACAGCAAACACUGCCCAGUCUCCACUUCACUGGAGUUAGAAAUAGAGGACCAAAUUCAUUGUCAUCUUUUCUUUCCUAAUUAGAAAAGAGGAGAAGAUAUGUGUGGAGCCAAGUCAACUCAAAGACACUCACUCCAAGCUGUGACCACAAUCUCUCAGCUUCCUCAUUUUCAUCCACAAACUGCUCUCAGAAGAAGGGACUUCCCCUGGGUGGGGAGGUACCAGGAAUACUGAACAUAUACUGGGGCCAAAGCAAGUUCCUCUAAGUGCAGCAUUUAGAAAAGACCUGCCACCCACUCAUCCCACAGACUGUGGGCAACACUGAGAGCUGUGUAAAGCUGGAGCCCUGGAGACAGAGCUGUGCUGAAGCCACAGGCAGUAGAGGGGAAGCAUUAGCCCUGGGGCUACCCAUUGUCAUGGAUUGAAUUUUGUCUGCUAAAAAUAUGUGUUGUAAACCCUAACCUCUAUAUUUGUGAAAUAAGGGGCUCUGGUGGCGCAAUACGUAAGUGCUCAGCUGCUAACCAAAACCUUUGAGGUUCCAAACCACCAGCCACUCUGGGGAAAAAGCUGUGGCAGUCUGCUCCGCUAAAGAUUACAGCUUUGGAAUCCCUGUGGGGACAGCUCUACUCUGUCUUAUAGGGUCCCUAUGAGUCAAAAUAUUAUAAUGACAUGUGCAAAGAGCUAGAGACAGAAAACCAAAAGGGAAGAAUACACUCAGCGUUUCUCAAGCUGAAAGAACUGAAGAAAAAAUUCAAGCCUCAAGUUGCAAUAGCGAAGGAUUCUAUGAGAAAAAUAUUAAACGACACAGGAAACACCAAAAGAAGAUGGAAGGAAUACACAGAGUCAUUAUACAGAAAAGAAUUAGUAGAUAUUCAACCAUUUCAAGAGGUGGCAUAUGAUCAGGAACCGAAGGUGCUGAAGGAAGAACUCCAAGCUGCUCUGAAGGCAUUGGGGAAAAACAUGGCUUCAGGAAUUGACGGAAUAUCAAUUGAGAUGUUUCAACAAAUGGAGGCAGCCCUGGAGGUGCUCACACAUCUAUGCCAAGAAAUGUGGAAGACAGCUUCCUGGCCAACUGGCUGGAAGAGAUCCAUAUUUAUGCCUAUUCCCCACAAAGGUGAUCCAACCGAAUGUGGAAAUUAUAGAACAAUAUCAUUAAUAUCACUCAAGCAAAAUUUUGCUGAAGAUCAUUCAAAAGCGGCUGCAGCAGUAUAUUGACAGGGAAAUUUCAGAAAUUCAUGCUGGUUUCAUAAGAGGGCGUGGAACCAGGGAUAUCAUUGCUAAUGUCAGAUGGAUCCUGGCUGAAAGCAGAGAAUGCCAGAAGGAUGUUUCUCUUUGUUUUAUUGACUAAGCAAAGACAUUCAACUGUGUGGAUCACAACAAAUUAUGGAUAACAGUGCGAAGGAUGGGAAUCCCAGAACACUUAAUUGUGCUCAUGAGGAACCUUUACAUAGAUCAAGAGGCAGUUGUUCGGACAAAACAAGGGAAUACCGAUUGGUUUAAAGUCAGGAAAGGUGUGUAUCAAGGUUGUAUCCUUCUACCAUACCUAUUCAAUCUGUAUGCUGAGAAAAUAACCUGAGAAACUGGACUAUAUGAAGAACAGGACAUCAGGAUUGGAGGAAGACUUAUUAACAACCUGUGUUAUGCAGAUGACACAACCUUGCUUGCUGAAAGCGAAGAGGACUUGAAGUACUUACUAAUGAAGAUCAAAGACCACAGCCUUCAGUAUGGAUUACACCUCAACAUAAAGAAAACAAAAAUCCUCACUACUGGACCACUGAGCAACAUCAUGAUAAACAGAGAAAAGAUUGAAGUUGUCAAGGAUUUCAUUUUAAUUGGAUUCACAAUCAACACCCAUGGAAGCAGUAGUCAAGAAAUCAAAAGACACAUUGCAUUCGGUAAAUCUGCGGCAAAGGAACUCUUUAAAGUGUUGAAAAGCAAAGAUGUCACCUUGAAGACUACAGUGCACCUGACCCAAGCCAUGCUCCCCUCCAGGUAGGAGAUGCCAACAGUGUCUCAGCUGUCCACCUGAUCCAAGAAGCUCACUCUGCACCAGCAUCUCUCUACAACCCACUGUCCAGUCCAAUCCAUGUCUGAAGAGUUGGCUUCGGAAAUGGUUCCUGUCUUGGGGCAACAGAAGGUCUGGGAGCCAUGACCACCAGGGUCCUUCCAGUCUCAGUCAGGCCAUUGAGUCUGGUCUUUUUAUGAGAAUUUAGGGUCUGCAUCCCACUGUUCUCCUGCUCCCUCAGGGGUUCUCUGUUGUGUUCCCUGUUAGGGCAGUCAUCAGUUGUAGCCGGGCACCAUCUAGUUCUUCUGGUCUCAGGAUGAUGUAGUCUCUAGUUCAUGUGGCCCUUUCUGUCUCUUGGGCUCGUAAUCGCCUUGUGUUCUUGGUGUUCUUCAUUCUCCUUUGAUCCAGGUGGGUUGAGACCAAUUGAUGCAUCUUAGAUGGCUGCUUGCUAGAGCUUAAGACCCCAGACGCCACUCUUCAAAGUGGGAUGCAGAAUGUUUUCUUAAUAGAUUUUAUUAUGCCAAUUGACUUAGAUGUCCCCAGAAACCGUGGUCCCCAGACCCCUGCCCCUGCUACGCUGGCCUUCGAAGCAUUCAGUUUAUUCAGGAAACUUCUUUGCUUUUGGUUUAGCCCAAUUGUGCUGACCUCCCCUUUAUUGUGUGCUGUCUUUCCCUUCACCUAAAGUAGAUCUUAUCUACUAUCUAAUUAAUGAAUGCCCCCUCCUACCCUUCCUCCCUCCCUCCUCUCGUAACCACUAAAGAAUGUUUUCUUCUCAGUUUAAACUAUUUCUCAAGUUCUUAUAAUAGUGGUCUUAUGCAAUAUUUGUCCUUUUGCAACUGACUAAUUUCACUCAGCAUAAUGGCUUCAAAAAAAAAAAAUUUUUUUUUUUUAAUGGCUUCCAGGUUCCUCCAUGUUAUGAAAUGUUUCACAGGUUCGUCACUGUUCUUUAUCGUUGCGUAGUAUUCCAUUGUGUGAAUAUACCAUAUUUAUCCAUUCAUCCGUUGAUGGGCACCUUGGUUGCUUCCAUCUUUUUGCUGUUGUAAACAGUGCUGCAAUAAACAUGGGUGUGCAUAUAUCUGUUCAUGGAAAGGCUCUUAUUUCUCUAGGAUAUAUUACAAGGAGUGGGAUUGCUGGAUUGUAUGGUAGUUCUAUUUCCGGCUUUUUAAGGAAGCGCCAAAUCAAUUUCCAAAGUGGUUGUACCACUUGACAUUCCCACCAGCAGUGUAUAAGUGUUCCACUCUCCACAGCCUCUCCAACAUUUAUUAUUUUAUGUUUUUUGGGUUAAUGCCAGCCUUGUUUGAGUGAGAUGAAAUCUCAUUGUAGUUUUGAUCUGCAUUCCUCUAAUGCCUAAUGAUCGUGAACUUUUCCUUAUAUAUCUCUUAGCUACCUGAAUGUCUUCUUUAUUGAAGUGUCAAUUCAUAUCUUUUGCCCAUAUUUUAAUUGGGUUAUUUGUGUUUUGGCAGUUGAGUUUUUGCAGUAUCAUGUAGAUUUUAGAGAUCAGGUGGUGAUAAGAAACUUCAUAGCUAAAAGCUUUUUCCCAGUCUGUAGGUAGUCUUUUUACUCUUUUGGUGAAGUCUUUGGUUGAGCAUAGGUUUUUGAUUUUUAGGAGCUCCCAGUUAUCUAGUUUUUCUUCUACAUUCCUUAUAAUGUUUUGUAUGCUGCUUGUGCCAUGUAUUAGGGCUCCUAACAUUGUCCCUAUUUUUCUUCCAUGAUCUUUAUCAUUUUAGAUUUUAUAUUUAGGUCUUUGAUCCAUUUUGAGUUAGUUUUUGUGCAUGGAGUGAGGUAUGGGUCUUGUUUCAUUUUUUUGCAGAUGGAUAUCCAGUUAUGCCAGCACCAUUUGUUUAAAAGACUGUCUUUUGCCCAUUUAACUGUUUUGGGGCCUUUGUCAAAUAUCAACUGCUCAUAUGUGGGUGGAUUUAUGUCUGGAUUCUCAAUUCUGUUCCAUUGGUCCAUGUAUCUGUUGUUGUACCAGUACCAGGCUGUUUUGACUACUGUGGUGGUAUAAUAGGUUCUAAAAUCAGGUAAAGUAAGGCCUCCUACUUUGUUCUUCUUUUUCAGUAAUGCCUUAUUUUUCUGGGGCCUCUUUCCCUUCCAUAUGAAGUUGGUGAUUUCCUUCUCCAUCUCAUUAAAGAAUGUCCUUGGGAUUUGGAUCGGAAUUGCAUUAAAUGUAUAGAUCGCUUUUGGUAGAAUAGAUAUUUUUAUAAUGUUAAGUCUUCCUAUCCAUGAGCAAGGUAUGUUCUUCCACUUAUGUAAGUCUCUUUUGGUUUCUUACAGGAGUGUACUGUAGUUUUCUUUGUAUAAGUCUUUUACAUCUCUGGUAAGAUUUAUUCCUAAGUAUUUUAUCUUCUUGGGGGCUAAAUGGCAUUGAUUUGGUGAUUUACUCUUUGAUGUUCUUUUUUGUUGUUGUAGAGGAAUCCAACUCAGUUUUGUAUGUUUAUCUUGUAUCCCAAUACUCUGCUGAACUCUUCUAUUAGUUUCCAUAGUUUUCUAGAGGAUUCCUUAGGGUUUUCUGUGUAUAAGAUCAUGUCAUCUGCAAAUAGAGAUACUUUGACUUCUUCCUUGCCAAUCUGGAUGACCUUUAUUUCUUUAUCUAUCCUAAUUGCUCUGGCUAGGACUUCCAGCACAAUGUUGAAUAAGAGUUGUGAUAAAGGGCAUCCUUGUCUGGUUCCCAAUCUUAAUGGGAAUGUUUUCAGGCUGUCUCCAUUUAGGGUGAUGUUGGGUGUUGGCUUUGUAUAAAUGCCCUUUAUUAUGUUGAGAAAUUUUUCUUCUAUUCCUAUUUUGCUGAGAGUUUUUAUCAUGAAUGAGUGUUGAACUUUGUCAAAUGCCUUUUCUGCAUGAAUAGAUAAAAUCGUGUGAUUUUUCUCUUUUAUUUAUGUGGUGGAUUACAUUAAUUGUUUUUCUAAUGUUGAACGAUCCCUGCAUACCUGGUAUGAAUCCCACUUGGUUAUGGUGAAUUAUUUUUUUGAUAUGUUGUUGAAUUCUAUUGGCUAGAAUUUUGUAGAGGACUUUUGCAUCUACAUUCAUGAGGGAUAUAGGUCUAUAAUUUUCUUUUCUUGUGGUGUCUUUACCGGGUUUUGGUCAAGGACAUGGUGGCUUUAUAGAAUGAGUCUGGUAGUAUUCCAACAUUUUCUAUUCUCUGAAAUACCUUUAGUAGUAGUGGUAUCAACUCUUCUCUGAAAGUUUGGUAGAACUCUGCAGUGAAGCCGUUGGGACCAGGGUUUUUUUUUUUGUUGGGAGUUUUUCUAUUACCUUUUCAAUCUCUUCUUUUGUUAUGGGUCUAUUUAGUUGUUCUACCUCUGUUUGUGUUAGUUUAGGUAAGUAGUGUGUUUCUAGGAAUUCAUCCAUUUCUCCUAGGUUUUCAAAUUUGUUGGAGUAUAGUUUUCCAUAGUAAUCUGAUAUGAUUCUUUUAAUUUCAGUUGGGUCUGUUAUAAUAUCGCCCAUCUCCUUUCUUAUUCGGGUUAUUUGCUUCCUCUCCUGUUUUUCUUUUGUCAGUUUGGCCAGUGGUUUAUCAAUUUUGUUGAUUUUUUUUAAAAAACCAGCUUUUGGUCUAGUUAAUCUUUCAAUUGUUUUUCUGUUUUCUAUUUCAUUUAGUUCAGGUCUAAUUUUUAUUCUUUGUUUUCUUCUGGUGCCUGUGGGUUUCUUUUGUUGCUCUCUUUCUAUUUGUUCAAGUUGUAGGGAUAAUUCUUUGAUUUGGGCCCUUUCUUCUUUUUGGAUGUGUGCAUAUAUUGAUAUAAAUUCGCCUCUGAGCACCACUUUUGCUGUGUCCCAAAGGUUCUGAUAGGAAGUGUUUCCAUUCACAUUGGAUUCUAUGAAUUUCUCUAUUCCAUCCUUAAUGUCUUCUAUAAUCCAGUCUUUUUUGCUCAGGGUAUUGUCCAGUUUCCAAGUGUUUGAUUUCUUUUCCCUGGUUUUCCUUUUAUUGAUUUCCACUUUUAUGGCCUUACGAUCGGAGAAGAUGCUUUGUAAUAUUUCAAAGUUUUGGAUUCUGCUAAGGCUUGCUUUAUGACCUAAUAUGUGAUCUAUUCUAGAGAAUGUUCCAUGUGCACUAGAAAAGAAAGUAUACCUGGUUGUUGUUGGGUGGAGUGUUCUGUAUAUGUCUACAAGGUCAAGUUGGUUGAUUGUGGCAUUUGGAUCUUCCGUGUCUUUAUUGAACUUCUUUCUGGAUGUCCUGUCCUUCACCGAAAGUGGUGUGUUGAAAUAGCCUACUAUUAUUGUGGGGCUGUCUAUCUCACUUUUCAGUGCUGAUGGAGUUUGUUUUAUGUAUCUUGCAGCCCUGUCAUUGGGUGCAUAAAUAUUUAAUAUGGGUGUAUCUCCUUGGUGUAUUGUCCCUUUAAUCAUUAUUUAGUGUCCUUCCUUAUCCUUUAUGGUGGAUUUAACUUUCAAGUCUAUUUUGUCAGAAAUUAAUAUUGCCAUUCCUGCUC